rnacentral:rRNA from 1 species
CUACGGGAUGCAGCAGUCGGGAAACUUCUGCAAUGUACGAAAGUAUGACAGAGCAAGCCAGAGUGUUUUUCUAAUAAUUGAAAAACUUUUGUGAAAUGUAAAAAGUUUCACGAAUAAGGACCGGGCAAGACUGGUGCCAGCCGCCGCGGUAAUCCCAGCGGUCCAAGUCGCAGCCACGUUUAUUGGGUCUAAAACAUCCGUAGCUUGCUGUGUAAGUCUUCUGUGAAAUCUGGCCUCUUAAGGGUCGGGCGUGCAGGAGAUACUGCGCAGCUAGAGACUGGGAGACGUAAGAAGUACGGUUAGGGUAGCGGUAAAAUGCGUUAAUCCUUACUGGACUAACAAUAGCGAAGGCAUCUUACGAGAACAGAUCUGACAGUGAGGGAUGAAGGCUAGGGUCGCAAAACGGAUUAGAUACCCGUGUAGUC